AUGAGUUACCUAAGCUGGAACUGCCGGGGGCUUGGGAACCCCGGGGCAGUUCGAGAGCUUUGCAGUAUUGUAAAGCAAGAAGCGCCCGGUCUCCUGUUUGUCAUGGAGACGAAGAUCGCAGCAGUGAGAGUGGAGAACUUGCGGACAUGGUUGGGUUUUGAGGGAUGUUUUGCUGUUAACAGUGUGGGUCUCAGUGGUGGGAUUGGUAUGUUCUGGUCUCAUGACUUUGACGUAGAGUUAAAGAGUUACAGUGCCGGCCAUAUUGAUGUCAUGGUGCGGAGGAAAGGUGAUGAUGGUAGAAAAUGGCAAGUGACUGGUUUCUAUGGAGCUCCAAGGGCUGAAGAUAGGCAUCAUAGUUGGAGAUUCAUGAGAACUUUGUUUGCAAUCCAACAUGAGGCUUGGAUGUGUAUUGGUGAUUUUAACGAAACUUUGGAAGGAUCGGAACACUUUUCACGGUCCUCACGUCCAGAAUGGCAAAUGCGAGCAUUUCGUGAAGUUAUGGAUGAGUGUUCUCUAGUUGAUCUUGGCUACUCUGGAACAACAUAUACCUGGGAUAAUAGACAGCCAGGAGGAUCAAAUGUAAAAGCAAGGCUUGACAGGGCAUUUGGGAAUGAAGCUUUUAUGAACAUGUUUGAACAUAUCAAAGUCCGUCAUAUUGUUGCUACGGAAUCGUGUUGGAAAUAUUCCCUAUAG
rnacentral:rRNA from 1 species